rnacentral:rRNA from 1 species
AUUGAACGCUGGCGGCAGGCUUAACACAUGCAAGUCGAACGGUAACAUAAAGAAGCUUGCUUCUUUGAUGACGAGUGGCGGACGGGUGAGUAAUGCUUGGGAAUCUAGCUUAUGGAGGGGGAUAACUUCGGGGAACUGUAGCUAAUACCGCGUAAUAUCGCCAGAUUAAAGUGUGGGACCUUCGGGCCACAUGCCCACGGCUGAGGCCAAAUGGGAUUAGGUCGUUGGUGAGGUAAAGGUCCACCAAGCCGACGAACUCUAGCUGGUCUGAGAGGAUGACCAGCCACACUGGGACUGAGACACGGCCCAGACUCCUACGGGAGGCAGCAGUGGGGAAUAUUGCGCAAUGGGGGCAACCCUGACGCAGCCAUGCCGCGUGAAUGAAGAAGGCCUUCGGGUUGUAAAGUUCUUUCGGUAGCGAGGAAGGCAUUUAGUUUAAUAGACCAGGUGAUUGACGUUAACUACAGAAGAAGCACCGGCUAACUCCGUGCCAGCAGCCGCGGUAACAC